rnacentral:rRNA from 1 species
AUUGAACGCUGGCGGCAUGCUUUACACAUGCAAGUCGAACGGUAACAGGUCUUCGGAUGCUGACGAGUGGCGAACGGGUGAGUAAUGCAUCGGAACGUGCCCAGUCGUGGGGGAUAACGCAGCGAAAGCUGUGCUAAUACCGCAUACGAUCUAUGGAUGAAAGCGGGGGAUCGCAAGACCUCGCGCGAUUGGAGCGGCCGAUGUCAGAUUAGCUAGUUGGUGGGGUAAAGGCCCACCAAGGCGACGAUCUGUAGCUGGUCUGAGAGGACGACCAGCCACACUGGGACUGAGACACGGCCCAGACUCCUACGGGAGGCAGCAGUGGGGAAUUUUGGACAAUGGGCGCAAGCCUGAUCCAGCAAUGCCGCGUGCAGGAAGAAGGCCUUCGGGUUGUAAACUGCUUCUGUACGGAACGAAAAGGUCUGGGUUAAUACCCUGGGCUCAUGACGGUACCGUAAGAAUAAGCACCGGCUAACUACGUG